rnacentral:misc_RNA from 1 species
GAUGAAGAACGUAGCGAAAUGCGAUAAUUAAUGUGAAUUGCAGAAUUCAGUGAAUCAUCGAGUCUUUGAACGCACAUUGCGCCCCCUGGUAUUCCGGGGGGCAUGCCUGUCCGAGCGUCAUUGCUGCCCUCAAGCACGGCUUGUGUGUUGGGCCCCGUCCUCCGAUCCCGGGGGACGGGCCCGAAAGGCAGCGGCGGCACCGCGUCCGGUCCUCGAGCGUAUGGGGCUUUGUCACCCGCUCUGUAGGCCCGGCCGGCGCUUGCCGAUCAACCCAAAUUUUUAUCCAGGUUGACCUCGGAUCAGGUAGGGAUACCCGCUGAACUUAAGCAUAUCAAUAAGCGGAGGA